rnacentral:rRNA from 1 species
GUACAAUAAGCAAAAUAAGGGCGUAUGGGGGAUGCCUAGGCUCUUGCAGGCGAAGAAGGACGUGAUAAGCUGCGAUAAGCUUCGGGGAGCGGCACACACGCAUUAAUCCGAAGAUUUCCGAAUGGGGCAACCCAAUACAUUGAAGAUGUAUUACCCGUUAGGGGGCGAACGCGCUGAACUGAAACAUCUAAGUAGGCGCAGGAGAAGAAAACAAAAGUGAUUCC